rnacentral:rRNA from 1 species
UACGUAGGGCGCAAGCGUUGUCCGGAUUUAUUGGGCGUAAAGAGCUCGUAGGCGGUCUGUCGCGUCGGAUGUGAAAACCCGGAACUCAACUCCGGGCCUGCAUUCGAUACGGGCAGCGUUGAGUACUGCAGGGGAGACUGGAAUUCCUGGUGUAGCGGUGGAAUGCGCAGAUAUCAGGAGGAACACCGGUGGCGAAGGCGGGUCUCUGGGCAGAAACUGACGCUGAGGAGCGAAAGCGUGGGGAGCGAACAGG